rnacentral:lncRNA from 1 species
UUCAAAUAUGAAAUAAUAUUUCCCCUUCUCUCUUCGAGAUUAGGGUUCUUUGUCGCACAUUUCUGCUCAAAUUAGUCUCAUUUCUACAGUUUAUCAUGGUAUCAAAGCAUUGAUUCGUGUAUCUCUCGCUCCACUGAUUCGUCCGAUAGUACCCUCAUCAAGUUUCCUUGGAGUUUGCUCACUAACAAUAUCAAUUUCUGAUAAAAAAUUAAGUGGUGGUUCCGGCAAGGUAAUUCUCUUCACAAGUUCUUUGCUUUAGUGUGAGGGCUUAUCUGCUAUAGGUAGUUUGAUUAACGAUAUGGAGGCUCGCGCUAGUCCGUCUUCUGAUAACUCCAAUAACGAAUGGAUUUGAGGAUUUCUCUCUUCCCGCAUCUUAUCCUUUUUAUCUUCACCCGUCCGACAAUCCCGGUACUCAGCUGGUGCAUAUUCCUUAGUGGUUUUGUUAGUUUGAGGAAAAGUAUGUUGAUUUCACUCUUUGCAAAAAAUAAACUUGGAUUGAUCAAUGGUAGGGUUUCUCUGCCAUCCCCUUCUUCACCCUAUUACCCUUAUUAUUGGGAGCGUUGUAAUGACAUGGUGAUUGCACGGAUCACCAACUCCUUAUCUAAAGAUAUUGCUACAAGUUUGUUGCGUUUUAAUACUGGCAGAGAAAUUUGGACUGAUAUCAAUGAAAAAUUUAGACAAUCCAAUGGUUCAAAAUACAUUCAAAUACAGAAGAAAAUUAGUUCUCUCACUUAAGGAUCCUCUGACAUAGCUUCAUAUUUCAGAAAAUUAAGAAGUUUAUGGGAUGAAUUAACCACUGCAUAUAUAUGGUCUGUGUACUCGUGUGGUGCCUUGCCUAAAUUUCUUGAGGAUAAAAAGCUAUUUCAAUUCCUUAGUGGUCUUAAUGAAGCGUAUUCUACCGCCAAGAGUAAUAUCCUGAUGCAGUCACCUUUUCCAAAAGUUAUUAAAGCAUACUCCAUGCUUCAACAUGAUGAACACCAAAGAGAGAAUUCUACCCAUUCUCCUAGUGUCUCAAGUGACUCCAUGUCUUUCUCUAUUGCUUUUGGGCCUUACAAUCCUUCCAGAUCAUAUACUCAAAGGGUGAAUUUUGAUCCAAAUAAAACUUCCUCCACGGUCUCUUGAAAAUACUGCAAGAAGCCGGGACACAUUGUUGAGAAAUGCUAUAAGUUAUAUGGGUACCCUGCUGACUUCAAGUUUACCAAAGGCAAAAGGUCGGCUUCUUGUGUCCAAAGCACUGAAGGUUGCAAAUUUUAUUCUAGUACAUCCAAGUUCACCGAGAGUGCUCCCAUGGUUUCAGUAAGGAGCAACACCAACACCUAAUGUCUCUUUUUCAACAAGUGAAUUUGUCUUAAGUAGCGCAGGACUCCCCUGCCAACACAUCUGCCUUGGCAAAUUUUGCAGGUACUCUAAGUAGCUCUCUUAUUUCUACUAUAGGUAAUUUUGUAUGUUGUUUGUCUCAUCUUAAGAGUGAACCUUGGAUUUUAGAUUCUGGAGCAACAAAUCACAUGACACCACACAAACAUUUACUCUCUACUGUUUCCCUGCUUUCUUUUCCUAAACUAGUUACUCUUUCUAAUGGUUACAAAGUAAAAAUGGUUUUCACUAGUUCUUUGUCUUUAACUUCUGAUACUGUUUUAACUGAUGUAUAAUUGUUCCUUCAUUUCAGUUUAACCUCAUUUCUGUAAGUCAAUUACUCAGUCAAAUUCAAUGUUUUUCAUCUCUCUUUACCAAUUUCUCUUUUUCUCUACAGGGUCUUUCUCUGAAGAGGCCAUUGGUAAUUGGUAAGACUGAAAAUGGGUUAUAUCUUCUGCAUCCUGAAUACUAUUGGUUCAUGCUGUGAUUCUCUACCACCUUAUGAUAAUGCCACAGUACAUAAUUCUCAUCCCUGUGACAAUACCAUUAUAAAUAGUUUCCAUUCUUGCAAAAAUACAUCUUGUAAUGCCAGUGUUUCUGUACAUUCUGUUAAUAACAAUAAAAUUGAUGUUUUCUGGCACCAAUGAAUGGG